rnacentral:rRNA from 1 species
UUAAAUUGAAGAGUUUGAUCAUGGCUCAGAUUGAACGCUGGCGGCAGGCCUAACACAUGCAAGUCGAACGGUAACAGGAAGCAGCUUGCUGUUUUGCUGACGAGUGGCGGACGGGUGAGUAAUGUCUGGGAAACUGCCUGAUGGAGGGGGAUAACUACUGGAAACGGUAGCUAAUACCGCAUAAUGUCGCAAGACCAAAGAGGGGGACCUUAGGGCCUCUUGCCAUCGGAUGUGCCCAGAUGGGAUUAGCUAGUAGGUGGGGUAACGGCUCACCUAGGCGACGAUC